rnacentral:rRNA from 1 species
UACGUAGGGGGCGAGCGUUGUCCGGAUUUAUUGGGCUUAAAGCGCGCGUAGGCGGCGCGGUAUGUCGUGCGUGAAAUCUCCCGGCUUAACUGGGAGGGGCCGUGCGAAACUGCCGGGCUUGAGGUCAGAAGGGGAAAGUGGAAUUCCGGGUGUAGUGGUGGAAUACGUAGAUAUCCGGAGGAACACCAGCGGCGAAGGCGGCUUUCUGGUCUGAUACUGACGCUGAGGCGCGAAAGCGUGGGGAGCGAUCCGG